rnacentral:rRNA from 1 species
UACGGAGGGUGCAAGCGUUAAUCGGAAUUACUGGGCGUAAAGCGCACGCAGGUGGCUGAGUAAGUCGGGUGUGAAAGCCCCGGGCUCAACCUGGGAAUUGCAUUCGAGACUGAAUAGCUAGGGUACGGUAGAGGGAAGCGGAAUUUCCGGUGUAGCGGUGAAAUGCGUAGAUAUCGGAAGGAACAUCAGUGGCGAAAGCGGCUUCCUGGACCAGUACCGACGUUCAGGCACGAAAGCGUGGGGAGCAAACAGG